UUGGUUGAAGCCAAAAUAGAGGCUUAUCACUGUUAAUGAUAGAACUGAAUUUUAUUCCUACCAAG
rnacentral:tRNA from 1 species